UACGUAGGGUGCAAGCGUUGUCCGGAAUUAUUGGGCGUAAAGAGCUUGUAGGCGGUUUGUCGCGUCUGCUGUGAAAUUUCGGGGCUCAACCCCGAACUUGCAGUGGGUACGGGCAGACUAGAGUGUGGUAGGGGAGACUGGAAUUCCUGGUGUAGCGGUGAAAUGCGCAGAUAUCAGGAGGAACACCGGUGGCGAAGGCAGGUCUCUGGGCCACUACUGACGCUGAGAAGCGAAAGCAUGGGGAGCGAACAGG
rnacentral:rRNA from 1 species